CGUGCCUAACACAUGCAAGUCAACUUGACUGAAGGAGCAAUCUGACAGUAGAGUGGCGCAAGGGUGCGUAACGCGUAAGUAACUUGCCCCAAGGUAAGGAAUAACGUCGAGAAAUCGGCGCUAAUACCUCAUAAUGCAGCGGAUCCGCAUGGAUAUGUUGUUAAAGGUUUACCGCCUUGGGAUAGGCUUGCGUCUGAUUAGCUAGUUGGUGUGGUAACGGCACACCAAGGCUACGAUCAGUAACUGGUCUGAGAGGAUGAUCAGUCACACUGGAACUGAGACACGGUCCAGACUCCUACGGGAGGCAGCAGUGGGGAAUAUUGGGCAAUGCUCGAAAGAGUGACCCAGCAACGCCGCGUGGAGGAUGAAGGUAUUCUAUAUCGUAAACUCCUGUGAGAGCAGACGAAAGACAGAUUAUUAAUCUGGAUGACUGUAUGCUCAGAGGAAGCCCCGGCUAACUACGUG
rnacentral:rRNA from 1 species